AGUGAACGCUGGCGGCGUGCUUAACACAUGCAAGUCAAACGAGAACGGAACAUAGCUUGCUAUGUUUGUCAGCUAAGUGGCGAACGGGUGAGUAAUGUAUAGCUAAUGUGCCCCUUGGAGGGGGAUAACAGUUGGAAACGACUGCUAAUACCCCAUACUCCUUCUAUCUUAAUGAUAGUUGGGAAAUGUUUUUUCGCCAAGGGAUCGGGCUAUAUGGUAUCAGUUAGUUGGUGAGGUAAUGGCUCACCAAAACGAUGACGCCUAGCUGGUCUGAGAGGAUGAUCACCCACACUGGAACUGAGACACGGUCCACACUCCUACGGGAGGCAGCAGUGGGGAAUAUUGCACAAUGGGGGAAACCCUGAUGCACCACCGCCGCGUGGAGGAUGACGCAUUUCGGUGUGUAAACUCCUUUUAUAUAAGAAGAUAAUGACGGUACUAUAUGAAUAAGCACCGGCUAACUCCGUGCCAGCAGCCGCGGUAAUACGGAGGGUGCAAGCGUUACUCGGAAUCACUGGGCGUAAAGCGCGCGCAGGCGGUUUGAUAAGUUGGAUGUGAAAUCCUAUGGCUUAACCAUAGAACUGCAUCCAAAACUGUCAAACUAGAGUCUGGGA
rnacentral:rRNA from 1 species